rnacentral:rRNA from 1 species
AUGACCAAGUUGGCUAGCCAAUCCGGGUGUUUGAUUUCUCUGAUGAACCCGACCUCGAGUAGUUUGGCUAGCUCCUCCCCCAUAGCUUGUCGUUUGUGUUCGAAAAAUCAUCGUAGCGUUUGCUUGACUGGUUUGAACCCUUUGAUUAUGUUGAGGUUGUGUUCGGCCAGUCUGCGUGGGAUCCCGGGCAUGUCCGAAGGGUGCCAAGCGAAGAUAUACCAAUUUUCGCGUAGGAACACGCCUAGGGCGGCAUCUACCAUCGGAUCCAGCUGUGCUCCAAUGGAUGUUGUUUUAUUAGGAUCCAUUUGGUGUACUUUGAAUUUAAUUAUUUCAUCUGCUAGCUUGAAAGAAGUGGAUUUAGGUAUCUUAUCGAGAAUCACAUCAUCCUUGUCCACCGUGGAUCACAGGGUGGUUAGUUCUUCGGCCGCAAGGGCUUUGGAUAGUGUCUUAAGAGCCAAGGUUGCGUUUUUGUUUUCGGCGCCGAGUGCUUUAUCCAGAUCACUCCUAAAUGUGAUUAUUCCGUUGGGCCCUGGCAUUUUAAGCUUCAUGUACCCGUAA